rnacentral:rRNA from 1 species
CGGGUGAAGGUGGCGGACGGGUGAGUAACGCGUAAAGAACUUGCCUUACAGACUGGGACAACAUUUGGAAACGAAUGCUAAUACCGGAUAUUAUGACUGAGUCGCAUGAUUUGGUUAUGAAAGCUAUAUGCGCUGUGAGAGAGCUUUGCGUCCCAUUAGUUAGUUGGUGAGGUAACGGCUCACCAAGACGAUGAUGGGUAGCCGGCCUGAGAGGGUGAACGGCCACAAGGGGACUGAGACACGGCCCUUACUCCUACGGGAGGCAGCAGUGGGGAAUAUUGGACAAUGGACCAAAAGUCUGAUCCAGCAAUUCUGUGUGCACGAUGAAGUUUUUCGGAAUGUAAAGUGCUUUCAGUUGGGAAGAAGUCAGUGACGGUACCAACAGAAGAAGCGACGGCUAAAUACGUGCCAGCAGCCGCGGUAAUACGUAUGUCGCAAGCGUUAUCCGGAUUUAUUGGGCGUAAAGCGCGUCUAGGCGGUUUAGUAAGUCUGAUGUGAAAAUGCGGGGCUCAACCCCGUAUUGCGUUGGAAACUGCUAAACUAGAGUACUGGAGAGGUAGGCGGAACUACAAGUGUAGAGGUGAAAUUCGUAGAUAUUUGUAGGAAUGCCGAUGGGGAAGCCAGCCUACUGGACAGAUACUGACGCUAAAGCGCGAAAGCGUGGGUCAGCAAACAGGAUGUAGAGUAUCCCUGUAGUCCACUGCCGUA